GAUGAACGCUGGCGGCAUGCCUAACACAUGCAAGUCGGACGGGAAGAGGUGUUUCCCUUGGCGGUCGGGGGAGUAACGCGUAAGAACCUGCCCUUGGGAUGGGAACAACAGUUGGAAACGGCUGUUAAUACGCCGUAGGUACAGGAGCAAAAGGAGGGAUCGGCGCGAGGAGGGGCGUGGGCUUGAUUAGCUAGUUGGUGGGGCAGUAGCUUAUCAAGGUGAUGAACAGUAGCUGGUCCGAGUGGAUCAUGAGCCACACUGGGACUGAGAGACGGCGCGGGGAACUUCGGAAGACGGCAGUAAGGAAGUUUCCGCAAUGCGCGGAGGGUUAAGAAGGCAUUGGGGCGUGAAAGUAGAUGGCCCGGGGAUGAAGAGCUGCAUUUCCAGACGAAGAUGCAAUGACGGUAUCUAGAGAAUAAGCACCGGCUAACUCUGUG
rnacentral:rRNA from 1 species